AUUUGUGCGCUUGCGUCAUAUUACAGCUACUUGAUACUUUAAAGCAACGUUGGUUGGCGCCUCUCAUCCAUGGCGAGAAGCAUAAACAGUGAGACAAGUCAUAGAAUAAGUUGAUCUAUGGAGACAAGUGAGAAGAAUUUAUCGACUAUGGAUUUAUAUCUAUGGGGAAGAAUUAAAAUGGUCGUUGAUGGAGCUAGCAGCUUACAGUUUUAUAGAAAAAUGGAAUUAUGAUUUGCAAUAAUUUAGUGUUAUCUCUUAUGGUGUAUUUCAAUGUUUACAUCAUAUCAGCUUCGACGCCAGUGUCGUUAAAUUUAUUAGACUGGGCAACGGUUCUGUGGUGAAAAUACUGCUGUUGUUCCAACAAGGGAUGAAUCGGAUUGAAAGGAGGGUCAGUUCCUAUUUACGAAUUAACCUGAGUUAGUAUAAUUGAACGCACCUACAAAACCUAUUAUCUAUGUAGUGUAAGUAUAAAAGGAAUUUUUAUCUGUGGAUCUUCCGGCGAUCUCAUUACUCAUUUUCUCAUUUGUAAUUUUGUUUUCGGUCUUCACGUAGAUGGAUAAGUUGUCGUUUUUGGUGUCCAUUAACGGAGACAACACCUGAAGGUUUGCUGUGAGAUGACAUUCUUGGUUUAGAUGGGGAAACUUACAGAUGCAAUGUUUAUGGCAGUCAGACUUAUUUUUAUUUCCAAAAAUGCUUCUAAUGAGCUGGCCAAAAAUUCAUAUGGUGGUAACAAUAGUAAUUAUCAUUAAUAAUAAAAUAACAAAGCCUGAUGAACAUAUAAUUAAUAUUAAGUUGUUUCAACAGAUUAAUUUCCAUUAAAACAUAAUAAGUGAACAUGAAAAGGGUAAAUUAAAAGGAGCCGAAACGUGGAGAGGGAGAAACUCACAUUUCUUUCUCUUGGACUCAGAAAGGGUAAGAAAUCUUUUAACUAUUUUAUGAUGUGCUUAUAAAAUGGUGUGUGAUUUU